AUCAGAAAAAGGCAAACUUAUUGAAAAAUAAGGACGCAAAGUCACAGGUCUAAGGUUUAAUACGAUGACGGCUGGGCUACCUGA
rnacentral:ncRNA from 1 species